rnacentral:ncRNA from 1 species
UAAAAGUUUUAUUUUGGCUUAAAAGUGUAGUUUUUACUUUAUUUAUAUGUAAAUUUUUGUAAGGACAAGCCUUGAUUUAAAUAAGAGGGGAUUUAGAGUUCAUUCGCAGUAUGUAGAUUUACUAAUUAAUGAAAAUUUGAUUUAGAAAUGUGAUUUAGUUUUAACAAAACUUGUGCCAGCAGUUGCGGUUAUACGAGUAAUGCAAUUAUUCUUUAUUAAUUUAUAGUUAUUUGUUUAAUUAUUAUGUUAAUAUAAAUUUGUUAGGUGAAAUUAUAAAUUUAUUUAAAUUAUUAAAUUAAAAAUAGAAGCUUUGAAAUUUUUGGUAUAAACUAGGAUUAGAUACCCUACUAUUAUAAUAUGUUAAAUUAAAAUUAAAUUAGUAUUAGAUAUGUUCUUGAAAAUUAAAAAAUUUGGCGGUGUUUUAGUCUUUUCAGAGGAACCUGUCCUGUUGUCGAUAGCCCACGAUUAAUUGUAUUUAUUUUAAUAAAUUUGUAUAUCGUCGUAGUUGAAUAUUUCAGUAGAAUAUCAAUAUUCAAAAUUUAAUAUAAUUAAAUAAAUCAGAUCAAGGUGCAGUUUAUAAGUAAGGUUGAGAUGGGUUACAAUAAGUUUAUUUAUUUUACGGAAAAUGGAUUGAGAAUUCUGUUUGAAGGCGGAUUUGUUAGUAAUAAAGUUUAAUUAAAUUUUAUGACUUUGGCUCUAAAAUAUGCACAUAUUGCCCGUCGCUUUCAUUUAAAUUGGAAUAAGUCGUAACAAAGUAGAUGUACUGGAAAGUGUUUCUGGAAACAA